AUUGAACGCUAGCGGGAUGCCUUACACAUGCAAGUCGAACGGAGUGGCGAACGGGCGAGUAAUGAAUCGGAACGUGCCCAGUAGCGGGGGGUAACUACGCGAAAGCGUAGCUAAUACCUCACACUAUUGGAGCGGCCUAUAUCGGAUUAGCUAGUUGGUGGGGUAACGGCUACCCAAGGCGACGAUCCGUACCUGGUUUGAGGGGACGACCAGCCACACUGGGACUGGGGCACGGCCCAGACUCCUACGGGAGGCAGCCGUGGGGAAUUUUGGACAAUGGGGGAAACCCUGAUCCAGCCAUCCCGCGUGUUCGAUGAAGGCCUUCGGGUUGUAAAGCACUUUUGGCAGGAAAGCGGUACCUGCAGAAUAAGCACCGGCUAACUACGUGCCAGCAGCCGCGGUAAUAC
rnacentral:rRNA from 1 species